CCAACGACAAAACGAAAGCUAGAAUACCGUUGUAAAUAAGCUUUAGUUUCGUCGAAGAAGAAAAACAAGACGGACCAGAAACGAAACAUUCCGAUACACCG